CCCACCCCUAAGGUGGAGUUGGAGUUCUGGAAGAGCAGGUAUGAAGAUCUGAAAUACAUCUAUAAUCAACUGAGAACAAUAACGGUGAGGGGCAUGGCCAAGCUCCUGGACAAGCUUCAGAGUAGCUACUUUCCAGCUUUCAAAGCCAUGUACAGAGAUGUUGUUGCAGAUGGGACUGCAAUUUCCUGGCCAUUUGAGCACCAGACAAGAUCUACGCUUAUCAAAAUUGCCAAGCCAGCAAAGUCUAUGAUUAGAAGUAGGUAAAUUUUUUUAGGACUCCCUCUCCAUUUCUUGGAGCACUGUGCGUCUUCUCCCUUUUUCUUGUAAAAUCUCCUCUUUGCUCUUCAGUACCAUAGGUCAAAAUGUGCUUUUAAAGGUCUUUGUCAUUUCACAUGGUCUAAGCUUAAUUAAAGCAGUGAUUUUCAAACA
rnacentral:lncRNA from 1 species